GACGAACGCUGGCGGCGUGCUUAACACAUGCAAGUCGAACGGAAAGGCCCUGCUUUUGUGGGGUGCUCGAGUGGCGAACGGGUGAGUAACACGUGAGUAACCUGCCCUUGACUUUGGGAUAACUUCAGGAAACUGGGGCUAAUACCGGAUAGGAGCUCCUGCUGCAUGGUGGGGGUUGGAAAGUUUCGGCGGUUGGGGAUGGACUCGCGGCUUAUCAGCUUGUUGGUGGGGUAGUGGCUUACCAAGGCUUUGACGGGUAGCCGGCCUGAGAGGGUGACCGGCCACAUUGGGACUGAGAUACGGCCCAGACUCCUACGGGAGGCAGCAGUGGGGAAUAUUGCACAAUGGGCGGAAGCCUGAUGCAGCAACGCCGCGUGCGGGAUGACGGCCUUCGGGUUGUAAACCGCUUUCGCCUGUGACGAAGCGCGAGUGACGGUAAUGGGUAAAGAAGCACCGGCUAACUACGU
rnacentral:rRNA from 1 species